GCGCCCCAGCUGGGACUCACCGUUGUCCAGGCGCGCGAUCUGGGGCAGCCGGUUAAACAACUUCUUAUUCCACAACUAUCUAGAAGUAAAAAUUACUAUAAAUUGAAUGAUGAAAACUUCAGGUCAUUCCUUUCAAAGUCCUUUCCAGUGCUGCAUGGAGAAAAAACGCAAUCUACAACCACAACAAUAAAUGAGGUAUGAGAUUUAAUUCUGGAUAUUACAGGGAGGCUUAAUGAAGCAGAGAAGUGGAUUUCCGGAGAAGGAGAGAUUAAAGUCUGGAAAAGAAGUAUACCUGUCUGGGGAUUAAAAAACAAACAACUUUGAACGGUCAAGGAACCUGGAAACCAAGCUCAUAAAAGGGAUCUUCUCACUUUGUUGGAUAUCUGAAAUGUGUAUAUGUUUUUUUUGGAAGCAGAGUCUCACUCUGUUGCCCAGGCUGGAGUACAGUAGCACAAUCAUAGCUCACUGCAGCCUUGACCUUCUGGGCUCAAGUGAUCCUCCUGCCUCAGCCUCCUGUGUAGCUGGGACUACAGGCAUGUGCCAUCAUGCCCAGCUAAUUUUUUAAUUUUUGAGGGAGACAGAGUCUCACUAUGUUACUCUGGCUGGUUGCGAACUCCUGGCCUCAAGUGAACUGCCUUGGCCUCUCAAAAUGCUGGGAUUACAGGCAUGAACCACUGGCCCAGCCUGAGGUUGGUCUCAAACUCCUGGCCUCAAGUGAUCCUCCUGCCUCAGCCUCCAAAGCAUUAUGAUUAUAGACAUGAGCCACUGUGCCCAGCUGAGGUUAUUUUCUAUGUAAAUCUCGAUGUUCUGGAAUUGGGAACAGAAAUGAACUGAAAUCAAGAAACAGAAGGGCCAAGGAAAGAAGUCCAUUUGAAUGUAUCAACAUGCAGGUUUAUUAAUUAUUCCCUGAAUAAUCAACAACUAAACCAUUCUGCAUUGCUUGGCUAUUGAAUAUGAUCAAACCUAUAUUUAUCAUUUGGAACUGAAGUUCAAUGUCUUAUACAAGCUUUGUUUGCUCAUGACUAUUCCGUCACCAUUUAUAGAAAGUAUAGUUUUUCAAAAGUGUGAAGAAUCCACCAGCUUUCUGAUCUUUGUGACUCCUCUUAAAGAAAUAAAUAACAACCAGACACAGGACCCCUCCUAUCUGGAUGGGAUCAAGUUAAAUGUCAUCCGUGGGUCAGAGGAGACAACCUAGGAAACCACCACCCAACAGUUUCCUUUAUUUUCCAUGACUGAACACUAGAAAAUUCCCAAAUCCUUCCACUACAAAGAGAAAAGAGUUGUAAAUCAACAGAACGGAAGAGAAACAAAAAGGCAUUUCCUCUAUCUUUAACAAAGGGAACUUAGAGUUAUCAAGAGAAGGAACACGACUUUCUACUUAGCUCCAUAAUUUUCAUUCUAAUGUUAUUAAAAAGAAGUCAUCAUUGGUACAUGGAAGGAUAAAUCUAUAUUUUAAAGUCCCUCUUUUCUGUUGUUGGUCACAAAAGGCAACAAAGAAGCAUCUAAUAAAUAGAAUCUCUUAUUUGAAACAUUGGAAAAAGGAUGCCAGCUCCUGGAAAAUACCUUGCCCAUCAGUAAAGAAAUCGGUCCACAGGGAAUAAAAAUGGAAUGGAGAGCUCUCCAAUGCUGCCCUAUGGGGAGAAAUAAAAGGGGUCUCCACAUGUGGACUUCAUAAAAACUUUGAUAUAAAAGAAAUCUAUUAUCAAAAGUACACGGUAACCCCAGCAAGUGUUCUGUUUAAUCUUUGCACAGAGGAUUUAGGGCCUGCAAAGUGCAAGAGGCAUGAUGCAUUGGCCAUUUUAGUAUUCAUGUCUCCUGUACUGCUUUCUAAUAAGUUAAGAUGAAACGGGAGACUGCGUGCAGGAGUGAGAGAUGCAAGAAAAGCAGUACUGAGAAAUAAAGAUGAACAAAAGUGCAUCUUGACUUCCCUUUUAUUAUUAACAGGCGAGAGAACAACAAUGCCAAACUUAUAAUGUUAUUACUUAACACUUCACAUUUACAAAAAGACGUUGCAGUCAUUUUUACAUGUUAUUUCUCAAUAUUUUUCUGAUAGAGGCUUUUCUUAUAAUCAGUUUUUAUGAUGAUAUAUGAAAUGAUUUUUCCAAAAAGGAAGAUAAACAUGCAGUCUGUGCCAGCAUGUUACCAAAACAAUCUUUUUGCGCAUUGGUGUCCAGGGAGCUUUCUUGUUGCAGUUCCUGGACAAUGCUACUGCAGGUUUCACUGGGGGAUGCCAGCUCCAAAAUGUAUUAUUUCAAGCACCACCACACAUGUCUCUGCUCCUCUACUGCUUUUAUGGGGGGCAACCACUGAAAGGAGUGACUACCCACCCAUCAAGAGCUGGCAAUUCGCUGCUAUUAACCGUGACUGUGAUUCCCAGUCCGCCUGGCAGUUCCUGAGAAAGGCCUGCAAUGUCUCAUAUGCAGUAAAAGCUGUAAGAUGCACCCUGGCCAGCACACUCGACCUGAUGGAUGUACAAUCCUCAGGAACAGUAAUGGAUUGAGCACACUUGCGAUUGAAGCAGGGAGAGGAGGCCCAGACCCCUACAAAGGGCCUGCUGAUUUAACAGUCGCUUUACAUGUAAUUGAACUUUUCAUGUACCUGAAAGGCUCAAGGUGAUGGUGGAAGAAACGGAACAACAAUGAUUGAAGGAAAAAAGUCAAUAAAUACAAAAGGAUUCCUCUUAGUGAUGAUCACAAGCCCACGGCGUGGCUCUGAAUCUAUGAUUACAUAUUCAGCUCGUUCUGAUUCAAGAAUGCUUGGCGAAGUAUGCCCUUGUGGAGAAGCAUUGUUUGUUGGUUAAGAACCUAACAUUCGGAGAGUUAACUUAAUACAGUUAAUGACAUCUCCAUGUGGAAGGAAGGGAACAAGAGAAUUCCUUUGAUGAAACUCUGGUGCCAUUGAAUGCAUUAUUAUGCCUCAGUGGGAAAAAUACCUUCUGGAGAAUUGUCCAUAGUAGACACUCAUAGAUAGAGGGAGCUGUACUUACAGAGGAAUGAGUAAUGUGAUGGCAGCUUGCAGUGUUAAUUUUGCCACUCUGUGGAUAUAGUUGAGCCAAAAGGAAAACAAACAAACCCAAACUCUGAAUUUGAAGUACCUUCAAACAGUACCCAUAUGCUUUAUAGACUAGUAGUUGGCAAAUAGAAUACAACAGCAAAGAGCCCCCAUACUUGGAGGAUUUCAGUGAUUGGGGUGUUUUUGCAAGAGGGGUUAAGAAAAAUCAGUGCAGUCUGUACCUUUCUUUCACUUGGAAAACAUACAUACAUAAUUCACAUGCUAUAUAAUCUCCUAGAUGCAUGGCCACAGAGCUGAUAUAUGACCAUUUUUUUCUUAUUGUAGUUUUUAGCCCAAAUAACCACUCUGUGUGUGUAAGAGAAGUCAAGAUGAAAACAAAUACUCUUUUUAGGUUGCUGCAAAUGACCAUGUGUAGACAGACCUGUUCAACUGGAAGUCACGAUUCUGUGACUGUCCUAACAUCACUCGUCCACAUGCCGCCAGACUGCAGUUGGGGGUAGAUCAGUAUCAACAGGAUAGACACAGAGGAAAGAACUCAUGGAAGUGGCGGUUGUGACAAAAGCAACAUAAUUAAAUAUAUUUUAGUAUAUAAACAAAUUAACUGCUUAAAACAUGUAUUUAAUGGGGCCCGGCGUGGUGGCUCAUGCCUGUAAUCCCAGCACUUUGGGAGGCCAAAGCAGGUGGAUCACCUGAGGUCAGAAGUUCGAGACCAGCCUGACCAACAUGAUGAAACCCCCGUCUCUACUAAAAAUACAAAAAAUUAGCCAGGUAUGGUGGCAGGCACCUGUAAUCCCAGCUACUUGGGAGGCUGAAACAAGAGAAUCUCUUGAACCCAGGAGGCAGAGGUUGCAGUGGGCUGAGAUUGUGUCAUUGCACUCCAGCCUGGACAAAAAGAGCGAAACUCCAUGUCAAAAAAAAAAAAAAAAAUUAGCUAGGUGUGGUGGCACAUGCUUGUAAUCCCAGCUACUUGGGAGGCUGAGGCAGGAGAAUCACUUGAACUCAGGCGGCAGAGGUUGCAGUGAGCUGAGAUCACGCCAUUGCAUUCCAGCCUGGGCAACAAGAACAAAACUCCAUCUCAAAAAAAAAAUGUGUUUAAUGGAUGGCAAAGGGAGAUGAAUGCAUGGCUCACACAUGUUUGUAAGGUCAUUUCAUUCAUUGAUAAGAGGAACUUCCCUAGACAAGUUACACUGGUGAUUCUCCACCCUGAUUUAGAUGGACCAUCUCUGCUGAUAAGGAGAGGAUCUAGUGUCUUUGUUCUCUUGCCCAAAUUGCCAGCCAUUGCCAUCUGUCCUCUAAGAAGUGGACUGACUACCAAUACAAAAGCCAGUGAACAGUGGGCAAACGGUAACACCCUCCACCCCUGCCAACAGUGACAUGAUUCAAGGGCUAGCUAGCAAAGAGCAAUGAAAGAUUCCACACAACUAAGGUAAAUCUCUAAGCGACUCAGGCCUCUGCAGAGACUGUAAUAAAGAAUUAUGUGGAGGAAAAGGAAAUCCUACUUACCCUCAAUGGCUGUGUGUUUUCUACAAAGGGGCAGUGCUUUGAAGCCAUGAUGUAUGGCUUUCUUAGUGAAUCAAGAUGCCUUCCAAAUCUUUUGCAUUGUUGUAUUUACAUCAUCAUUCAUUCAAUUUGUCAUGACAUUUUACUUAGAGUAUUUUUUCUCUAAAUCUUGUGUUAUUCAGUUUUCCAAGCCAGUAUCAAUAUUAUUUAAUUCUAAAUAAAACUUGAAGCUCUACUUUGUGAAGAUGAACCAAAUUGAAACCCAAAAUAGGAUAAAACAUGUAAGAAGUUGGAUCAUACAGAGGAAAGAACACAUCAAGUAACAAAACACAUUUGAGUGGUUUUCUCACUAUUUUCUCCAUUGACUCUCAAAACAGCUCAACGUGGUAGGUAUAACUCUCCAUUUUACAGAGAGGAGAGAAAGUUCCCAUAGCUGUUAUAAGAAGGUACACAUUUGGACAUUACAGAAAACUAUGAAGAUUUCUGAAUCCGAAUAAAGA
rnacentral:lncRNA from 1 species